rnacentral:rRNA from 1 species
GACGAACGCUGGCGGCGUGCCUAACACAUGCAAGUCGAACGGAGAUAUUUGAAAGAAGUUUUCGGAUGGAUUUUAAAUAUCUUAGUGGCGGACGGGCGAGUAACGCGUGAGCAACCUGCCCUUCAGUGGGGAAUAACGACCGGAAACGGGCGCUAAUACCGCAUAAAAUAUACAUUUGGCAUCGAAAGUAUAUCAAAGGAGCAAUUCGCUGAAGGAUGGGCUCGCGUCCGAUUAGCUGGUUGGUGAGGUAACGGCUCACCAAGGCGACGAUCGGUAGCCGAACUGAGAGGUUGAUCGGCCGCAUUGGGACUGAGACACGGCCCAGACUCCUACGGGAGGCAGCAGUGGGGGAUAUUGCACAAUGGAGGAAACUCUGAUGCAGCAACGCCGCGUGAGGGAAGAAGGUCUUCGGAUUGUAAACCUUAGUAGUCAGGGACGAAACAAAUGACGGUACCUGAAGAGUAAGCUCCGGCUAACUACGUG